GAUGAACGCUGGCGGCGUGCUUAACACAUGCAAGUCGAACGAAGCACCUUGAUUUGAUUCUUCGGAUGAAGAUCUUGGUGACUGAGUGGCGGACGGGUGAGUAACGCUUGGGUAACCUGCCUCAUACAGGGGGAUAACAGUUAGAAAUGACUGCUAAUACCGCAUAAGACCACAGCACCGCAUGGUGCAGGGGUAAAAACUCCGGUGGUAUGAGAUGGACCCGCGUCUGAUUAGGUAGUUGGUGGGGUAACGGCCUACCAAGCCGACGAUCAGUAGCCGACCUGAGAGGGUGACCGGCCACAUUGGGACUGAGACACGGCCCAAACUCCUACGGGAGGCAGCAGUGGGGAAUAUUGCACAAUGGGGGAAACCCUGAUGCAGCGACGCCGCGUGAGCGAUGAAGUAUUUCGGUAUGUAAAGCUCUAUCAGCAGGGAAGAAAAUGACGGUACCUGACUAAGAAGCACCGGCUAAAUACGUG
rnacentral:rRNA from 1 species